rnacentral:lncRNA from 1 species
CGCCAGUGGGCGGAGCAUAAUGUGCAGUUCUGACUUUUGAGACCCUCUGAAAAUAGGCAUCUGUCCAGAAUUCAGCGGUGAAGCCAUGAGGACUGGGGCUUUUCUUGGUUGGCACAAUCUCUGCUGUUAUUGGAGUCACUUUUCUAGAUAAACCAGCCUCACUUGAACUGUCUGAAGAAAAAUACUACCACAAAGAAGAAAGCUACUCCUGUGAACACCUGGAAGACCUGAGGUUCCUCUUCAAAAAAACUCUAGUAAUGCUCUAGGAGUUUCUCUUGGUUAUAUGCUAAUGUACAGAUUGCUAAAUGGUGAUUACUGGCCACUGAGCAAUAACCUGAAUUGAACCAUCUACUUCUCUUGUAAGCAAUAUGGUUCCUCCCACUGUAUGUAUAGACACUGAUUUUAGUUACGGCUGGUUUUUAUUAAGUGAUGUCAAUUAGGCUGACAUGAUUAUCACUUAGUAAGCCCCUAUGGUCACAUUCAUUGGAGAUAAGCUUCUAACAUGUUACUUAGAAUAUUGUUCUAGAAAUUCUGUAAGUAAUUACAUUUUCAAAAUGCUGCUGGCUAAAAAACCUCUCCCCUACUCCCCCCCCAUACUGGAGAUUGAGUCCAG